rnacentral:rRNA from 1 species
AGAGUUUGAUCCUGGCUCAGGACGAACGCUGGCGGCGCGCCUAACACAUGCAAGUCGAACGGUGAACGGAGCUUCGGCUCCGGGAUCAGUGGCGAACGGGUGCGUAACACGUGGGCAACCUGCCCCAGACCCUGGGAUAACCCCGGGAAACCGGAGCUAAUACCGGAUACUCCGGCCGAACCGCAUGGCUCGGCCGGGAAAGGUCCGCCGGUCUGGGAUGGGCCCGCGGCCUAUCAGCUUGUUGGUGAGGUAACGGCUCACCAAGGCGACGACGGGUAGCUGGUCUGAGAGGACGACCAGCCACACUGGGACUGAGAUACGGCCCAGACUCCUACGGGAGGCAGCAGUGGGGAAUCUUGCACAAUGGGCGAAAGCCUGAUGCAGCGACGCCGCGUGAGGGAUGAAGGCCUUCGGGUCGUAAACCUCUUUCGGCAGGGACGAAGCGAUCUCGUGACGGUACCUGCAGAAGAAGCCUCGGCUAACUACGUGCCAGCAGCCGCGGUA